rnacentral:rRNA from 1 species
AUACGUAGGGUGCGAGCGUUGUCCGGAAUUACUGGGCGUAAAGAGCUCGUAGGUGGUUUGUCGCGUCGUCUGUGAAAUUCCGGGGCUUAACUCCGGGCGUGCAGGCGAUACGGGCAUAACUUGAGUACUGUAGGGGAGACUGGAAUUCCUGGUGUAGCGGUGAAAUGCGCAGAUAUCAGGAGGAACACCGGUGGCGAAGGCGGGUCUCUGGGCAGUAACUGGCGCUGAGGAGCGAAAGCAUGGGUAGCGAACAGGAUUAGAGACCCUGGUAGUCCAUGCCGUAAACGGUGGGCGCUAGGUGUAGGGGUCUUCCACGACUUCUGUGCCGUAGCUAACGCAUUAAGCGCCCCGCCUGGGGAGUACGGCCGCAAGGCUAAAACUCAAAUGAAUUGACGGGG